rnacentral:rRNA from 1 species
CUACGGGAGGCUCCAGCGAGGAAUAUUGCACAAUGGGGGGAACCCUGAUGCAGCAACGCCGCGUGGAGGAUGACGCAUUUCGGUGUGUAAACUCCUUUUAUAUGUCAAGAAAAUGACGGUAGCAUAUGAAUAAGCACCGGCUAACUCCGUGCCAGCAGCCGCGGUAAUACGGAGGGUGCAAGCGUUACUCGGAAUCACUGGGCGUAAAGGACGCGUAGGCGGGUUGGAAAGUCAGGUGUGAAAUCCUACAGCUUAACUGUAGAACUGCACUUGAAACUUCUAAUCUAGAGUAUGGGAGGGGGAGAUGGAAUUAGUAGUGUAGGGGUAAAAUCCGUAGAUAUCACUAGGAAUACCUAAAGCGAAGGCGAUCUCCUGGAACAUUACUGACGCUAAGGCGUGAAAGCGUGGGGAGCAAACAGGAUUAGAUACCCUUGUAGUC